rnacentral:rRNA from 1 species
AUACAGAGGGUGCGAGCGUUAUUCGGAAUUACUGGGCGUAAAGCGCGCGUAGGCGGAUAGGCAAGUCGGUUGUGAAAGCCCCGGGCUCAACCUGGGAACUGCAUCCGAGACUGCCUGUCUAGAGUACGGUAGAGGGUAGCGGAAUUCCUAGUGUAGCGGUGAAAUGCGUAGAUAUUAGGAGGAACACCAGUGGCGAAGGCGGCUACCUGGACCGAUGCUGACGCUCAGGCACGAAAGCGUGGGGAGCAAACAGGAUUAGAUACCCUAGUAGUCC